UCACCUAUUAGAAAGGGUAUAAAAGCUGCACAUAAUGAAGCUAGUGUCACCACGCUUGUCCCUUUCUGUGUUGGAGGCUGGCAGGAGAAUCCACUGAGCUGCUUGUCAUGGAGGCCCAAACCAUGUGUGAGCCGGACCAGGUGGAGGAGCCUUAAAGUAACUCCAGGCUGGCAUUCGAAGCCACUGCUAUUUUGUAUUGCUUAUUCAGUUCCUCUCUGGAGUUUCUUCAUGUUGGUAAUGUUAGUUUGCUGAUGACUUUUGACUGCUGUGGCUGGUUCUACACCUGCAGAAUCAAGCUGGCCAAUGGAAAAACUAAAACUUCCAAAUUGCUUGCCAGAGUCACCAGAUAUAUCUACUGCAAGAUGAAGAGAACCUUUUAGGUUAAAGGGCAACCUCACUUCAAUAUAUGGACCAAGAUUUUGGCAAUUCCUUUUUAAUCUCAACUUUACCACUGAAUUUCAGGGACAAGUAGGAGGGUUAGUUGAUGUGUAAAAUGUUUGACCUACCUCUGUAUUGCCCGUGGGAUAUUUCGUAACCCUGUUUUAUAAAUUGUUGCAGAUAAUUUCAUUUUUUUUAAAAUAUUGUAUUGUCAUUUACUCAUUUCAGUUGGUUCAAUAUGCGUUGGGCAAGAAACCUGGUGGAGACUGUGGUGCCAUGAGUGCAAACAAAAGGUAUGACUGACUUGGGUUGUUAACAAGUACCCUACUAACGAGCCACUACUCAUAUUUAACUGCACGCAUUUUUCACAAUGUUUUAACUGUUUGACUUGCUUGGUGAUUUAUGGUGAUUGUGACGUUUGUUCCAUAGUGCAAGUGAAUCUUAUGUGUGUACCCUGUAAAAAUGCACUUUAAAUACACAUU